rnacentral:rRNA from 1 species
UACGUAGGGUGCAAGCGUUGUCCGGAAUUAUUGGGCGUAAAGAGCUCGUAGGCGGUCUGUCGCGUCGGCUGUGAAAACUCGGGGCUCAACUCCGAGCUUGCAGUCGAUACGGGCAGGCUAGAGUUCGGGAGGGGAGACUGGAAUUCCUGGUGUAGCGGUGAAAUGCGCAGAUAUCAGGAGGAACACCGGUGGCGAAGGCGGGUCUCUGGGCCGAUACUGACGCUGAGGAGCGAAAGCGUGGGGAGCGAACAGG